GGGUUGUAUGGGGAAGUGAAAGGCAAAAGAAAAAGCAUUGAUUUCAAAAGUUGAAAAAGAAAAAUGCAUGAGAAAAAGAAAGGAAAAUAAAAAAAGAGAAAAAGCAUGUAAAGUGAGCUCAAUGAAAAUAAAAGGAAAAAGGGAAAAAGUUGGAAAUGAGUGAGAUUGGUUAAAAAGGAGAGUGUGCUUGAACUUUGAAUGAUGAUUUAAACUCUCUUAACUCAAGGAUUUUGUAUUCCAGAAAAACCAAUUUUUCUUGAUAGCCCAGCCUCAUUACAAG
rnacentral:lncRNA from 1 species